rnacentral:rRNA from 1 species
AGAGUUUGAUCCUGGCUCAGGAUGAACGCUGGCGGCGUGCCUAACACAUGCAAGUCGAACGGAUGCUUUCGGGCAUUAGUGGCGCACGGGUGAGUAACACGUGGUUGAUCUACCCCAAAGUAGGGGAUAACGUUCCGAAAGGAAUGCUAAUACCCUAUAAGCUCCCGGCUUUUAGAAUGUUGGGAGAAAAGUUCCGGCGCUUUGGGAGGAGACUGCGAACCAUCAGCUAGUUGGUGCGGUAAUGGCGCACCAAGGCGACGACGGUUAGGGGACCUGAGAGGGUGGCCCCCCACACUGGAACUGAGACACGGUCCAGACUCCUACGGGAGGCAGCAGUGAGGAAUAUUGCACAAUGGGCGCAAGCCUGAUGCAGCGACGCCGCGUGGGUGAUGAAGGCUUUCGGGUCGUAAAGCCCUUUUCUAGGUGACGUGGAAGGACGGUAGCCUAGGAAUAAGUGUCGGCUAACUACGUGCCAGCAGCCGCGGUAAAACGUAGGACACAAGCGUUAUCCGGAGUUACUGGGCGUAAAGGGCGUGUAGGCGGACGUGUAAGUCUAUUCUGAAAGCUCCUGGCUAAACUGGGAGAGGCGAAUGGAGACUGCAUAUCUAGAGUGAGGAAGAGGAAAGUGGAAUUCCGCGUGUAGUGGUGAAAUGCGUAGAGAUGCGGAGGAACACCAGUGGCGAAAGCGACUUUCUGGUCCUUAACUGACGCUGAGGCGCGAAAGCAUGGGGAGCGAACGGGAUUAGAAACCCCGGUAGUCCAUGCCAUAAACGAUGUUCACUGAACGUUCGUUUCCCGCGAGGGAAGUGGGUGUUGAAGCUAACGCAGUAAGUGAACCGCCUGGGGAGUACGGUCGCAAGGCUAAAACUCAAAGGAAUUGACGGGGGACCGCACAAGCAGCGGAGCGUGUGGUUUAAUUCGAGCUACACGAAGAACCUUACCUAGGUUUGACAUCUUACUGAAGGCCUCAUGAAAGUGAGGAGGUCCCGCAAGGGACAGUAGGACAGGUGCUGCAUGGCUGUCGUCAGCUCGUGCCGUGAGGUGUUCGGUUAAGUCCGCAAACGAGCGCAACCCUCGGUGCCAGUUACAAGUGUCUGGCGCGACUGCCCGUGGCAAACGGGAGGAAGGUGGGGAUGACGUCAAGUCAGCAUGGCCUUUAUAUCUAGGGCUACACACACGCUACAAUGGCGCGUACAAUGGGCUGCGAACCCGCGAGGGGGAGCCAAUCCUAAAAAGCGCGUCUCAGUUCAGAUCGUAGGCUGCAACCCGCCUGCGUGAAGUUGGAGUUGCUAGUAACCGCGCGUCAGCAGAGUGCGGUGAAUACGUUCCCGGUCCUUGUACACACCGCCCGUCACGUCAUGAGAGCUGGUGACGCCUGAAGUCGGGAAGCUAACCGCAAGGAGGCUACUGCCGAAGGCAGCAUUGGUGAUUGGGACGAAGUCGUAACAAGGUA